rnacentral:rRNA from 1 species
AGCGAACGCUGGCGGCAGGCUUAACACAUGCAAGUCGAGCGGGCAUAGCAAUAUGUCAGCGGCAGACGGGUGAGUAACGCGUGGGAACAUACCUUUUGGUUCGGAACAACACAGGGAAACUUGUGCUAAUACCGGAUAAGCCCUUACGGGGAAAGAUUUAUCGCCGAAAGAUUGGCCCGCGUCUGAUUAGCUAGUUGGUGAGGUAAUGGCUCACCAAGGCGACGAUCCUUAGCUGGUCUGAGAGGACGACCAGCCACACUGGGACUGAGACACGGCCCAGACUCCUACGGGUGGCUG